AACGCGAAGAACCUUACCAGGUCUUGACAUCCCACUGACCGGUGUAGAGAUACACUUUUCCCUUCGGGGACAGUGGUGACAGGUGGUGCAUGGUUGUCGUCAGCUCGUGUCGUGAGAUGUUGGGUUAAGUCCCGCAACGAGCGCAACCCUUGAUCUUAGUUGCCAGCAUUUAGUUGGGCACUCUAAGGUGACUGCCGGUGACAAACCGGAGGAAGGUGGGGAUGACGUCAAAUCAUCAUGCCCCUUAUGACCUGGGCUACACACGUGCUACAAUGGAUGAUACAGAGGGUUGCCAACCCGCGAGGGGGAGCUAAUCCCAUAAAAUCAUUCCCAGUUCGGAUUGGAGGCUGCAACUCGCCUCCAUGAAGCCGGAAUCGCUAGUAAUCGUGGAUCAGCAUGCCACGGUGAAUACGUUCCCGGGCCUUGUACACACCGUACGUC
rnacentral:rRNA from 1 species